rnacentral:lncRNA from 1 species
GGCCGCCGGCGCGCCUGCCGUGCCCAGUGCUGAGCGAGCGGCGCGGCCGGGACGGGACGGCGCGGCCGGGGCGGGCGCCAGAAUGGUUGCCUGGGGAAAACAGCACUGCUGUGUUGGCAGAAUACAGGAGAUUUUGUUGAGAUUCAGGAUUGUUCAAGCAGUCUUUUUACUUCAGUUGUUCUUGGCUACAGCAAGCAAAGAUCAGGAGGAUUUCCUAGGGCGAUACAAAGCCGUCUUUAAGACAGCGUGUGAAGAUCCUUGGAGUAUGUCAUCAAGAAUUUCUCUGCAUCCCUUGAAAGAAUUCCUUGUCUGUGUGCACCUCAAGCUGUAUUCCUCAGAUAGUCCAUGGACAGCAUAUGUAUAUGCUGAAAAAACUCUUCAUGCCAAUCUCUCUGCAAAUAAGUAUGAUCUUGGACUUACAGGAGAUCAUGAUAAAUUGAAGAUAUGGUUGUUUGGAAAACAAAUAAACGUAACAGUAAGACUUCGUAAAAACACUUGGAACCAAAUAUGUAUCCAGUGGAAAAGUGACAAUGAGGAAAUGAAGGUAUUCAUAAAUGGAACACAAAAAUUUCACAGGAAACUAAAUGGGAAAGUUUGUUUGCCUGGAAAAGGCCAGUUCUUGCUUGGGUGUUCAAAGCUGCAAGGUACAGCUGCAUCACCUCGCCAGGGUAUGACUGGGGAGCUGUACCUGUUCAGAAUGUGGGACAAGGCAAAUAUAACACAAUCUAUGGACUGCCAGGAUAGUGGUGUUAUACGCUGGAGAGGGGAGGAUUGGAUCUAUAACACGACAGUAGAAGAGGAUAACUCUUUACAAUGUGUUGAGACUACUGCUACACUAACUAGCAGAAAAACAACAGAUUCUGAAGAAUCCGCUGCAACAACCAUGUUUGAUAUGUCUUCAGAGGAGACUACACAAAGUACAGAAGCCCUUACAACAACUGACUAUUACUCCACCUUAACACCAGCUGGAGAAACUAUUGUAUGCAAUGUAACACGUGCCUGUAAUUAUUCAGUGUUCUAUGUGGGAAAGGUAAAACUUCGGGCAAGUGAAGAAAGUAAUGCAUCACUAAAUGUAGAAAUAAUUAAUAACAUAACCACCCACAAUCAAGUCAAAAAAUUAAUUGAAAUUCCAGCACAUACCCCACAAGAACUGAGGUAAGUAAUUCUGAAUAAGAAUUGAAAUCUUUUUUAUAAUUGAAAAAGUUGGAGUG